rnacentral:rRNA from 1 species
AUUGAACGCUGGCGGCAGGCCUAACACAUGCAAGUCGGACGGUAGCACAGGGGAGCUUGCUCCUCGGGUGACGAGUGGCGGACGGGUGAGUAAUGUCUGGGGAUCUGCCCGAUAGAGGGGGAUAACCACUGGAAACGGUGGCUAAUACCGCAUAAUGUCGCAAGACCAAAGAGGGGGACCUUCGGGCCUCUCACUAUCGGAUGAACCCAGAUGGGAUUAGCUAGUAGGCGGGGUAACGGCCCACCUAGGCGACGAUCCCUAGCUGGUCUGAGAGGAUGCCCAGCCACACUGGAACUGAGACACGGUCCAGACUCCUACGGGAGGCAGCAGUGGGGAAUAUUGCACAAUGGGCGCAAGCCUGAUGCAGCCAUGCCGCGUGUAUGAAGAAGGCCUUCGGGUUGUAAAGUACUUUCAGCGGGAAGGAAGGCGAUGUGGUUAAUAACCGCGUCGAUUGACGUUACCCGCAGAAGAAGCACCGGCUAACUCCGUGCCAGCAGCCGCCGUAA